GAAGGGUAUAGCUCAGUGGUAGAGCAUUCGACUGCUAAUCGCAAGAGGUCCUCGGUUCAAACCCGGGAGCCCUCUUCA